rnacentral:lncRNA from 1 species
GAUCGUUGGUCUUGAGGCUACAGUUGCGGACUUGACCUCAAAGGUGGAGGAAGCGCAGGGUGAAAAAACUGCCAAGCAGCAGAUGGAGGUUAGUUGAGCUGACUGAAGCCAAGGUGCAAUUGUCUAACAAGGACAAGGAUCUCCAUGCCAAGGACGUUGAGAUAGCGGAACUCAAGCGUCGCUUGAAUGAGCAAAUCGACAGAU